rnacentral:lncRNA from 1 species
UAAAGAAAAAACUAAUACAAGAUAAGGAUAACUUCAAAAGAGAGUCUAAAAUAGCCAAGCAAAAGCCCAACUCCAUAAACCCAAACUGUAAUGAGGAGGGCCCAAAGUGAGCAGCCCAUAGCAGCAACCAAAUUGAAAAACCUAGACAGCCAUCUCAACCAAAACAGUCAUACCACCACCGCAGAUCCAUCACCACCACCCGGAAGAAAGGCUAAAAAACCAAAUGGAUGAAAGGAAAAUGGGGCUAGGCAAGCUACCCGCGCUGGGAGCGCUCCCAUAACCCUACCAAAUAGUGCAAAAUGCACUUUUAAAGGGUAGUUGGUAGAAGAUUCAUGGUGAGGAGCGAUGUUUGGAGAGGAAUAAGGCAAAUAAAAUAGAUAUGAGAUAAACUUAUAGAAAAUUGAGACCAAGCUCAGAGCAACCUGAGACACAAAAUGCUCAAACAGAAAACAAACGAAAGCUAAAUGCAAAUACAUAUAAACUAAAUCUCCAACCAUGGUGGCUUGGAGAGGGAAAAACUGUGGUGGAGUUGGAGGAAAAAGGAGAGAUGGGGAAAUCAGGAGGAAAGAGAGGGAGAGAAGGGGAGAAAGUAAGGAAACAAGGGUGGAAAAAGGAGAAGAAGAAGGGCGAAAAUCAGGGAGAGAUGGGAGAUAGUGAUGAAAUAAAGGGUGGACGAGAGAGGAAGAGAGAGGAGGGCGAGAAGGGAAGGGCUAGGCUGCCGCCGACCUCAAGCCAGAGCAAGAGGCCGACGACAAAGAAGGUUUCAGAGGUUUAGGCACUUUACUUUGGGGGAGGGAGAUGGCAUAGAGUCAUAGACUCAUAGGCACCCCCAAUCAAUAAUUGUCAAUUAUAUAAUAACUUGAAUAUUAUUGUCCUAAGAAGUGGAGUUGUUCUUAAUAGUUCGGGACUCAAUUGCAGUUGCGUAGCGACGGUUGUGUUUGAGUUUAAAAGAUUUCACCACCACGGCCUUGGUAAGUUGGAAAGAGAGUUGUGGAAAGGAAAAUAAUUUUGUGGUUUAUGUGUAAAUAAACAUAUUUUUGCUCAACAUUCUUAAUUGAUGGCCAUCCUUAAUAUUUUAUUUAUUACCGUUCAAUGAGUUUAAAUUUCAAAAUUUAUUUAUUUAAUAGACACAUCUCAAAAUUUAAAAUCAUUGACUAAUAAUAAGUAGGAUUGUGAGUAUUAGUACAAUUUGAGAACGGUGAGCAAAAACGUUCCCAUAAGGGGAAAUGUUAAUCCCUCCAACCUCUUGGUGUUCACUUUCCUUCCCCAGUAAACAAAAUAAAAACAUGAAUUGAUAUGUUUUAUCUACUUUCCCAAGAAAAGACAUGGCAAAUCAUUUCUCAUGAAUUCUUUACUGGGUACUAAGCGCGUGAUAAGGGUUUAGGGUUUACGGCCACCACUACCUGAGUUGGAUUCGCCUCAACCCUGCCUUCAAAACCUUGGAAUAUGAUCGUUCAUCGAACGUCAGACGGCAUCACGGCGUGGGUGCGCCUUUCACGGCCUUCGAGGGCUUUCCAACAAUUUUGGUCAUUUUCUGUCCACUUUUGGACUUCGUACAAGUGUAAACUUUCAUCCUCGUGUUGAUAUCUUUCUACAUGUAAAAUUUGGUGAAGUUUGGUUAAUGACGGAAAUUUGAUUCUAGAUCACUACGCGCAGUGGCACGUGGGCAACUCUGGUGAUAUGAAUUUUGGACAAGAGAUGUUAUCGAUGCUCUGAGCCCAUAUCCAAGGUCCUUUUUAGAGAUUUGAUGCGAUAGUUCAACUAUUCAAUUUUUGAAUUAACUGUACUGCUGCUCGAUUUUCGCAAUUAACGACAAUUCAAUUGUUGGAUCUUCGUGCUAUUUAAUGAGCAUGCUAUUUAGUGAUUUUAUGACCCUUGAGAACUUUGGAAAUGAAAUCCGACAUUCGAAUCUUUUGGAUUGAAGAAUUUAGUGUUGUUGAUCUUAGUGGGCCGACCCCACUUAGUGAGAAAAGACUUUGUUGUUGUUGUUGAUCUUAGUGGAACCAAUUUGAUGACGGUUGACAUUUUAAUCAACGUGUCCAUAAUUAUUCUGGUGUCUCGUUUAUAUAUAGGAUUCUAAGUUAAGACUUGUGUGUUUUCUUCUGCGUCAUGCCUUAGUGCUUCGAUCAUCGAGCUAGGAUUGCUAGUAGGUUGGACUUUAGGUGAAUUGACUUUAAUAUUAUGUGAUAAGUAUUUUGCUUAUGAAAAUUCCCUUGUUAUAUACUUUGUCUGCAUAACAUGAAUUUACAAAUGUGUUGUUAUCUAGUCAUUGAUUUUUUUUGUAAAAUGAUAUAUUUAUGUAUGUUUGAAAUGUUUGCGAACUAAGAGGGUUAGCAGAGGAUCGUUGCCUUGGUAUACUUUUUUUUUUCUUCUUGUUUCACGUGUGGAUUUGAUAUCCUUGGAGUACUUCCCUUCUUUCUUAUUCCAUGAGAGGUUCUGGAAUCUUGUGAACAAUUUCUGUAAGUUCCAUGAAUGGUUCAUGAACGCUCCUUUUGUACGGUUACAUGAGAGGUUCUGGAAUCCUACAUUUAGUUAGAUUUCAUGAGAGGUUCUAGAAUCCUACUCCGAUUCCUUGAGAGGUUUAGGAACUCUGUGCAUAGUUUCUAUCCCGUUUCAUGAGAGGUUUUGAAACCUUUCUUUGUGUAUAUUUGCUAUCUGGUUCUAUGAAAGGUCCUCAAACGCGGAACUUUAUGACGUCACUGUAGCCCUAUUUAUUUUAUUAUAUAUAUAAAAGAAAAACCGGUUGAAUGCAUGUGUAGAGCCAAUCGAGAUUUGUGAGUGAGAAUUAUUCUAUAUAUGCAAAGGAUUGUGAAAUGUUUAAAAUGAGAUCGAUUGACUGACCUUUUAAAUUACAUAUUGUAUCUCACACGACCUUUGCAGCUUAUCUGAGUUUUUGUUUUGCUCAGUGCAUCAUUCUCACGAUAGGGAGAUCAUGGAACCCCAAGCCCAACCCCCCACAUUCAAAAGAACACGACAGUAGGACCAAAAACGAAGA